rnacentral:rRNA from 1 species
CCCCACUAUGCUCAAGCACCACCUAGAUUUAUCCGCCAGAAAAUUACGAGCGAAAGCCUAAAACUCAAAAGACUUGACGGUGUCCCACCUUCCUAGAGGAGCCUGUUCCAUAAUCGACAACCCACGAUUUACCCAACCAUUUUUAGACCCUUCAGCCUAUAUACCGCCGUCGCACAGCUCACCUUUUAAAAGAAUACAAGUAAGCUUAAUAGUAUUAUACUAAUAAGUCAGGUCAAGGUGUAGCUUAUAAAAUGGAGGAAAUGGGCUACAUUAUUUAUAUUAAAACACACGAAUUUAUAUUCCCUGAAAAAGAAAAUGAAGGCGGAUUUAGCAGUAAUUUGAAUAAGAAAAUUUAAAUUAACAUUAGCUUCUGGGACAUGUACACACCG